CCUUGACAACGGCCGGAGAGCGCGCCGCUUGGCGGCUGAGGCUGAGCCGGCUGAAACGGCGGCGGAGGCCCCGGAGGAGAGCCGAGGGGAGGAAACUGAGGCCCAGAGAAAGGAAGCAGCUUGCCCAAGGACACACAGGGAGUGCAGGAAUGGGACACAAUAGACACCUGGAGUCAGAGUGAAAACUUCCAUCAGUCACUGCUCAGUGACUUCGAUUUCGCGCGUGCUCCUGUCUUCGGGUCGUCCAGAGAGCCAGGCCUGGCAGCCUCCAUG